rnacentral:rRNA from 1 species
UGAGGAAUAUUGGUCAAUGGACGCAAGUCUGAACCAGCCAAGUAGCGUGCAGGAUGACGGCCCUAUGGGUUGUAAACUGCUUUUAUAUGGGGAUAAAGUGGGGAACGUGUUCCCUUUUGCAGGUACCAUAUGAAUAAGGGCCGGCUAAUUCCGUGCCAGCAGCCGCGGUAAUACGGAAGGUUCGGGCGUUAUCCGGAUUUAUUGGGUUUAAAGGGAGCGUAGGCCGUUUGGUAAGCGUGUUGUGAAAUGUAGGAGCUCAACUUCUAGAUUGCAGCGCGAACUGUCAGACUUGAGUGCGCACAACGUAGGCGGAAUUCAUGGUGUAGCGGUGAAAUGCUUAGAUAUCAUGAAGAACUCCGAUUGCGAAGGCAGCUUACGGGAGCGCAACUGACGCUGAAGCUCGAAGGUGCGGGUAUCGAACAGG